rnacentral:rRNA from 1 species
CUUGCCUACGGGGGGCAGCAGUGAGGAAUAUUGGUCAAUGGGCGGGAGCCUGAACCAGCCAAGUCGCGUGAGGGAAGACGGUCCUAUGGAUUGUAAACCUCUUUAGGCGGGGAGCAAUGCCGGGCACGCGUGCCCGGAGGGCGAGUACCCGCAGAAUAAGCAUCGGCUAACUCCGUGCCAGCAGCCGCGGCAAUACGGAGGGGGCAAGCGUUAUCCGGAUUCACUGGGCGUAAAGGGAGCGCAGG